UUUUCUGACUAAUCGAGAUAAAUUUUUAAUGAACGCUAAGUGUCCCACGUUGUCAUUCUCCUACAAGAGGUUUACGUGCUUGCUCCUCUUUCAAUCGGCGAAUCGUAUCGGCACAAUCCCCUUUUUAUUGGUGUAAACAUUAAUGGAAAUGUCAUUCAAAGUUUCGAAUUUUUUAAUUUGAAUCAACGUCAUUGGAAAUUCGAUGCCCGCGAGAUUUAGAAUCGAUGUAUAAUGCGGAUACGAGGAUGCUCGAUGUGCAUUUUCUUGAGCCGGGUGUAGAACGGCAACAACAGGUUAUGCGAAACACGCAUUGUCCAUGGUUUACACGUUGAUUAUCGCUUUCUUUAGUAUAAUUUCUCGCGGGAGAUUGAUAUGACAUCCCGCACACGAGGAUUGUUCGCGUUCACUGUUAAAUUCAGUAUACGCGACAAUGCUCAUCCGCUAUCGCGUUCCUGAAACUCUUCCAGCGAUGAUAAGGUAAGCUCGACGGCGCGCGACACGUACCACUUGCGCAAUUGGCAUUGAUAUAGUUUCGGGUGGCAAUACUUUUGUUCGCGCGUUUAUCGCCUGCCACGAACUCACCAUUUAAAGACAGUGUUUAUUUUUAUAGAGUCAUAUCGCUGCAUUAUACUAUGCGCAUGUUCAAGUACAAUUUCGCUCGCGUCUUUGAGGAAUCUCGGCGAGACUCGAUAUGUUUAUAGUUUAUCACCGCGCUCGUCAGAAUACGGCUUUCGAAUGCCAUUUCGAUGAUGCGCCAAUGGAGUUCAUAUCUGGCGCUUACAUGCACGAAUCUUUCACGCAUAGAUUCCUUCAGACUUUCAAGUCGCGCGAUACAUGUGAUCGCCUAUUAGUGAUUGUCUAUUACCGAUUGAUAAUCGCGGGUGUGAUACGGAUCUACUCCUCCAAUGAUUCUAUAAAUUCGUCGCAUUGCUGUUCCCACGCGUUGUGUUAUAUCAAAUUACAUUGAUGAUGUCAUCGCCAAAACAUGUUAAUUAUCCUUGAAAAAAUUUCUUAUAUUACUGACACUACUUGCUAACAAGGUCAUAUUGAAACUUGCAAAUUUGCUGACAUUGCAAUUUGCGGUAUCAGAUUACAUUAAUGUCAUCACCGGAUGUCUUAAAAAUCUUUUGUUACAAAAAAUUGUUGGAGAGAAUAAGAUUUAAAUAGAGAUUGAAGCAAUGAUACUGCAUCAGUCGCUCAGACAGAUUCGUUUUGCAGUGAUCUUCAGCGCUAUGGAUUCAUACGUUCAACAUGGGCCAAGCAACGUCUUCUCAUUUUGAUAAGACUAUUAGUGUUGACACCGACGGUUUACAAAUUUUUGAAGAUCGUAUAGAAAUUAUGAUUGG